AUGUUGUAUGAAAGGAGAGAAGGUUAGCACUCCCUUUGAUAAGGAAGGAAGAGGUCCUAGAGGCCGUUACAACACAUAUAUGGUUAAGGCAUUGCUGCCUACUCUGUGACAUCUAAUGAUAAUUGUAA